rnacentral:rRNA from 1 species
GACGAACGCUGGCGGCGUGCUUAACACAUGCAAGUCGAACGGAAAGGCCCUGCUUUUGUGGGGUGCUCGAGUGGCGAACGGGUGAGUAACACGUGAGUAACCUGCCCUUGACUUUGGGAUAACUUCAGGAAACUGGGGCUAAUACCGGAUAGGAGCUCCUGCUGCAUGGUGGGGGUUGGAAAGGUUCGGCGGUUGGGGAUGGACUCGCGGCUUAUCAGCUUGUUGGUGGGGUAGUGGCUUACCAAGGCUUUGACGGGUAGCCGGCCUGAGAGGGUGACCGGCCACAUUGGGACUGAGAUACGGCCCAGACUCCUACGGGAGGAAGCAGUGGGGAAUAUUGCACAAUGGGCGGAAGCCUGAUGAAGCAACGCCGCGUGCGGGAUGACGGCCUUCGGGUUGUAACCCGCUUUCGCCUGUGACGAAGCGUGAGUGACGGUAAUGGGUAAAGAAGCACCGGCUAACUACGUG